rnacentral:lncRNA from 1 species
ACAUGGAGGAAGUAGUAGUUAGCUCAGCUGAGAAAGAGAAGGCCAGUAAAGAUUCUAAAGAUGUGAAAAUAAAAGAGAAGUCAGGGAAGGACUCCAAAGGCAUGGAAAUGAAAGAGAAGGCAAGGAAGGACUCCAAAGGCGUGGAAAAGAAAGAGAAGGGCUCCAAAGACAUGGAAACAAAAGAGAAGGCAGGGAAGGACUCCAAAGACGUGGAAACGAAAGAGAAGGCAGGGAAGGAUUCCAAAGACGUGGAAAUGAAAGAGAAGGUAGGGAAGGAGUCCAAAGAUGUAAAAAUGAAAGAGAAGGCAGGGAAAGAAUCCAAAGAUACAGAAGUGCAAGAGAAGCCAGUAAAGGACUCGAAAGAUGUAAAAAUGAAAGAGAAGGCAGGGGAAGAGUCCAAAUACAUGGAAGUGAAAGAGAAGGCAGGGAAGGACUCAAAAGAUGUGGAAACGAAAGGGA